AGCUGUAUUCAUGUGGUUAACUUGCUCUUCUGCUGCAUUCUGUUUGUACUAAGAUAUUUUUCUCAUUCAAGAGCACGUAAAGACUCAAAGGCUUGCAAGAAGAAGAAGGAGAAGGAGGAGGAGGAGGAGGAGGAGAAAAAAAUAGGCCUUUAAAAAAUCCAAGUAGCUGUAAGGGUACAACAGAAAACCGGUGUGUGUGAGGAUACAUUUUUGGAUAAUUUUUCAUGUUUUCUGCUGUUGCUAGUUUUUAAUUACAUGGGGGAAAAUCUGCCAUUUGAACAAUUUGGCCACCUACAACCUGAUCUGUGCCUUUUUGAUAUAAGAUCGAACUCGGGUCCUUGCACAUGCGCAGAAGGCGGCG
rnacentral:lncRNA from 1 species